rnacentral:rRNA from 1 species
UACGAGGGGUGCAAGCGUUGCUCGGAAUUAUUGGGCGUAAAGGGUAGGUAGGUGGUCUCAUUUGUCUGGGGUGAAAGCCUUGAGCUUAACUCAAGAAGUGCCCCGGAAACGGUGAGACUGGGGUCCUGGAGAGGGUCGUGGAAUUCCCGGUGUAGCGGUGAAAUGCGUAGAGAUCGGGAGGAACACCAGCGGCGAAGGCGGCGACCUGGACAACACCUGACACUGAGGCACGAAAGCUAGGGGAGCAAACAGG